rnacentral:tRNA from 1 species
GCGGGCGUGGUAUAAUGGUAGCACGUCAGCUUCCCAAGCUGAAGACGAGGGUUCGAAAACAAGUAGGCAAGACAAACGAAGUGCUGUCGAGCCGUCACGGUUUCCCCGCAGGCAUAUAAUGCCGAGGGAGUCCCUUCGCCCGCACCA